GACGAACGCUGGCGGCGUGCUUAACACAUGCAAGUCGAACGAAGAGCGAUGGAAGCUUGCUUCUAUCAAUCUUAGUGGCGAACGGGUGAGUAACGCGUAAUCAACCUGCCCUUCAGAGGGGGACAACAGUUGGAAACGACUGCUAAUACCGCAUACGAUCUGACCUCGGCAUCGAGGAUAGAUGAAAGGUGGCCUCUACAUGUAAGCUAUCACUGAAGGAGGGGAUUGCGUCUGAUUAGCUAGUUGGAGGGGUAACGGCCCACCAAGGCGAUGAUCAGUAGCCGGUCUGAGAGGAUGAACGGCCAUAUUGGGACUGAGACACGGCCCAGACUCCUACGGGAGGCAGCAGUGGGGAAUCUUCCGCAAUGGACGAAAGUCUGACGGAGCAACGCCGCGUGAGUGAUGACGGCCUUCGGGUUGUAAAGCUCUGUUAAUCGGGACGAAAGGCCUUUUUGCGAAUAGUGAGAAGGAUUGACGGUACCGGAAUAGAAAGCCACGGCUAACUACGUG
rnacentral:rRNA from 1 species